CAGUCCGGACUACAUCGGAGUUCCAGGCCAGCAUAGGCUAUGUAGUGCCAAGGCUUUCCCAAAAUCAAAUUAGCCUACAUACGUCAAACACUGGUACCAUACAUGGACUUUACAUGUUUCAUCUGUGACCUUUUGUUACCUUUUGUUACUGCAGAAGUUGCUGUGAUGUCAGUUAAAUACCCAGUGUGACAUGUACCUUACUUUACUCAGUCCCAGAGCAAGCACUGCACCCCAUUGAACUCAUGCACUGAAUGUUACUAGAAGUGUUUUAUUUUUCUGGCAUAACUUUGCUUGUAUUUAUGAAAUAGAUGGACAAGGCAGCAUUUCCUAUUUGAGGAGCUUCUAAAAAUCAAUGCCUUCUGAAUGAGAUACCAGGCCAUUAUGUCAAAAAUAUAUCAUUUCCCUAAAAACAGAUUGAAGUCUGUCUCAGAUGAGAGGUUUCACACAAUAUGAGACUUUUUAGAUUAUUAGAUUUUUAACAAUGCUUGGCUACCAAUCCUGUUUGCAUUAUUCCUGGGAGUCGCUUUUGAGAUGAUCCUCAUAAGAACUUGUGAAUUAUUUAAAAACAAGCUUGAGCUAUGGAAAAAUAGCAGUUCGUGUUCUCAAGAAGUAAGAAAUGAUUGACCAUUCUCUCAUUUUUUCUAAAGCACACAUAAGAAUAAUUUUAAAAAAUUUAACUUUGAUAGUUGGGCUAUUUCUCUAACAUUUUCAUUUUCUCCCUUGAAGCAGAAUGAAGAUGUUUUCCCAAAAGGAAUGACACUUGCUAUAGAGAGCUGGUCCAUUCCCCAAACAUCUUCAGCAGAAAGAGUUGAAAUCUUUUCAGAAAGAGUAACAACCAGCCCUCCAUCUGAGGAGAAUGGAGAUAACACUAGAAAAGGAACCUUUACAUCCAAUGAAUAUGAUGAAUAUCAAGGAAGCCAUUUUUUGAAAGCCACUCAUCUUUCAAAAGUAAAGAAAGUAUUCAUAAGUUCCUUUCACAGAUAUAUCCACAAAGUGAAUAUCCACAGAAUUAUCCACAAAGUGAACAUCAAACAAUAAAAUUUUCCUCCACUAA